rfam:Triticum aestivum genome assembly, contig: Triticum_aestivum_CS42_TGACv1_scaffold_252148_3DL
UCACUACUCCCUCCGAUUCAUGUUACUUGUCACUCAAACAGAUGUAUCUAGCAUUGAAAUACAUCUAGAUACAUCCAUUUGAGCGACAAGUAAUAUGGAUCGGAGGGAGUAGUAA